UUAAUAUGUGUGCGUAAUGUUUUUCGUUACAAAGUGUCUUCAUGCCCUUACACAAUAAUAUUUCUGUUUUUCCUACGAGUUUGUUUACAUCUCCCCUGUCGACUGAAACUUUAAUCCGUUUUUUCUGCACUCUUGACUAACGACACGAGCGCUUGUAGCAGAUCGAUUUCAAACGUAUAAAAAACGGGUUCCUUACUUUUUCUGUUCGUCUCAACAAUUUUGGGGGAAUUUUUUUUACAUACAUUUCAGAUAUUAGGCAGAAGGGCUCACCUUGAAGACCAGCGGAGCCUCUUUCGUGGUGUCGCGUCCACUCUGAGUGAAGAGGGCGCUGCGAGCUACACUGAUUACACGCGCCGCUUCUUCAGCCACGAAGAACUGAACAUGGAAGAGAGCGGUGCAUUGUUAUCAUCAAUUAUCAAAAGAUACCGUUAUCGGUUUCAAGGGAUAGAUAGACUUUGAGCUCUAAAGGGCAUGGAGAGAUGAAGAGAGCCUUGGUUGGAUCUUCUGGAUAUUUCUUCUGGUG